rnacentral:lncRNA from 1 species
CUGGCCAUCCUGCCUCUGCUCACACCAUCCAAGUCAGACUGUUACCUUGUCCCCUGUCGUCACUUUUUCAGUCACUCUGGAUAUGACACUGAAUCCAGAUUCUUUGUCAUCUCCAAGACACUUCAGUCUGCCCAGAUCCCCCUCAAAAUACGGCCAUCAGAGCAGACCCAGUGCACACCAGGUAGAGGGGAAGCCACAGGCCCUUGGGGCUCAGGCUUGGUGUUUUGUUAGGUGUCAGGGUUUGAGGGACGGCCCUGCCUGUCACUCCACUGUCCUACCCAGUCCCUGGCCCUGUACUGCCCCCCUCAACCCCCAGUUCCCCAAGAGCUGCCCUGAAGCCGGAGUUACCUGGGUGUCAGUAGUUUCCCUGUAUGUGGUUGUCCCCUGAGCAGGACACAGGCUGGCACCAGCCCCGCUGGAGGGACAGGAGGGCCCAGAGCUCACCACCUGGGUGGCCCUUCACCUCCAGGCAGCUGCUGGGAAAGGCUGGUGGCUGCUGCCCCCAAGUGGUCAUCCUGGGCACUGCACCCACAAGGCCCAGCCUCCAGGAGGGAAUGGGGUUGGGUGGUCUGGGAGCUUCCUGACCAGAGGGGAACAAGGCCACCCGGGGACUGGAGCCAGAUGGAGCAACAUAGCCUGCUGGGGGUGCUGAGGCCCAGAGGGGAGGCCACGGCCUGGCAGGAGCUCAGACAGAGCCUGGCCCCGGCCACUGGUACUGUCCUGUGGAACCCUCCUUGAGAACCUGACUCAGCCCCUGAGGGUUGUCCACACUUGAGCCACUGACCGGUUGUGCCCACUGGCCGUUCAUG